AAAGAGCUCGUAGGCGGUUUGUCGCGUCUGCUGUGAAAAUCCAAGGCUCAACCUUGGACCUGCAGUGGGUACGGGCAGACUAGAGUGCGGUAGGGGAGAUGGGAAUUCCUGGUGUAGCGGUGGAAUGCGCAGAUAUCAGGAGGAACACCAAUGGCGAAGGCACAUCUCUGGGCCGUAACUGACGCUGAGGAGCGAAAGCGUGGGGAGCGAACAGGAUUAGAUACCCCUGU
rnacentral:rRNA from 1 species